rnacentral:rRNA from 1 species
AUGAUUGGACAAGGACCCCUUCCAGACAUAGAACCACCUGCAUUCAAAAUCAAGAGAGGAAGAAAGAAAGAAAAGAGGAUCAAGGGCAAAUUUGAAGUACCAAAGCCAAAAGACACUUCAAGAAUGGGGACCAUAACAUGUGGCAAUUGUGGUCUCCAAGGGCAUAGGUACACAAACUGUCUUAAACAGUUGAAGCCUGAGCUAGCUUUGAGGAAGAAUAAGCAUGUGGCUAGUCCAAGUAACUCACAGCCAAGAGCUGCUGGUCCUUCUACUACAACAACAGCAAGACAGCCAAGAGCUGCUGCCAGAGGAGCUGCCACAGGAAGAGCAGCUGCCAGAGGAAGAGGAGCUGCUACUUCUACUACACCACCAUCAUCUGGAAGAGGAAGAGGAAGAGGAGCUGCUACUUCUACUACACCACCACCAUCUGGAAGAGGAGCUGGCAGAGGAAGAGGAGCUGGAAGAGGUGCUCCAAGGCCAUUCAGUGCCCCCCGGCAAUAUGCUGACAUUCCUACUGAUGGUACACACACUGGAUGGAUGUCCUACUUCACUGCUAGCAGAGGAAGAGGAGCCAAGUAA